UUCAUUUAUGUACUACCAAUACAGUUUCGGUUUUUACACGCCUGGUUUAAUGUCAUGUUUUAUCAUUAUGAGAUAUUUUUUACAAUUAUGUAUUGUCUAUAAUAUAUCCAGUGUAACCUACGAUUGCUAUGCAUUACCAUGUAUGCUUUUAACUAUUAGGUACUACCAUGCACUGUUUAGACUUUUACCUUUGUAAACUCAUUACUAUUUUACCUACUUAUCCCUAUUGGCGUUUGUCAUGCCCUUUCUGUAAUGAAUAAAUCUAUUUACUUCAAUUGAUCCAUUGAAUUCAGCAGUGUGCUUCAUCUUAAAGUCCCAAAACUUAGUAUUUCUCAUUCAAAAUUUCGGGGAUGGAGGUGUAUACCAGGUAUUGCCUCAUCUAAAGUCCCACCUUAGCUUUAGUAUAGCAAUUUUCUCAACCUGUCGGGGAUGGAAGCACACAGCUCUAUUACUACCUUAGGUACGCUCUAUACCACUGUGACCUGUCUAAUUGCCUAUGUUUCCCUGUCCCUAUAUAGUGACCAAGUCUACACAGUUUAGGUUGGCUUGCUGCCAUCUAUCCGGGAGCUGCGACCCGCCUUGGGACCUCCCCCUCCCCUCCCCAUAUGUGAGGGACGGGGCGGGUUACUCACUGCGGGUCGACGUCACGCUUACACGGGUAGCGUGCGGCGUCACGUGGUGACGCCGUAUCGCUCCCUUGUUUGUCCAUCUGCGUCCAAUUUGAGGGAGGUGGUUGCUAAGCGCCGAGCGCGUCAUGCUGUUUGGACGCUGGUUCCGCCCCUUCCUCUGUGAUGACGCUGCGUGGCCUUGACGGUCACCAUUGGUCCGCGGCCACUACUUAAUCUCCAGCUGCACUGCUCUGACACUUCAGGAUUUUUUCCUCCUCAUUACACGAUUGCACAUAUCUGGAUUAUCCUCUUUACAUACCUUAGUAGGUAGGUUUAUUUCCACUUUUACUUUAUUAUUCUGACAUUCUUACACAUCCACCUGGACACGGUUUUCCUGGCUUGAUAAUUCAUGCCUUCUAUUCAUACACUUUUUCUUUAUUUGUUUCCCACUUUUAUACAUGGGAAUUUUUUCCCUAUACACAAGCUAUCAACUGAAUUUACCUACUCAUCUCCACAGAUACCUCUGGGAAUGAUUUAUACUAUUAGAUAUAUCACAGAUGAUGACUGAUCAACUUACCUCUUACCUACUCUUUGCUGGUGCCGCCAUUGGACCUCUGGGUUUUACUGUCUCAGCUCCCGGAAAAGAUGCCUUUUACAGCCGCCCCCUACCAUGGAUACCAUCCUAUCAUCAUAAUACUAUGCUAUUAAUAGAUAUCCACAUACUGUAUAUCUGCUCCUGACGAGUGGUACAAACCACGAAACGCGUAGAGCUUCCCUACAUUGAUAUGUCACAGUACAGGCCUUAUUUUUAUCUUGCAAAUUAUUUCUAUGGAUCAACUAUCAUCAUUGUUCAUUUAUGUACUACCAAUACAGUUUCGGUUUUUACACGCCUGGUUUAAUGUCAUGUUUUAUCAUUAUGAGAUAUUUUUUACAAUUAUGUAUUGUCUAUAAUAUAUCCAGUGUAACCUACGAUUGCUAUGCAUUACCAUGUAUGCUUUUAACUAUUAGGUACUACCAUGCACUGUUUAGACUUUUACCUUUGUAAACUCAUUACUAUUUUACCUACUUAUCCCUAUUGGCGUUUGUCAUGCCCUUUCUGUAAUGAAUAAAUCUAUUUACUUCAAUUGA